rnacentral:rRNA from 1 species
UGCCAGCAGCCGCGGUAAUACAGAGGGUGCAAGCGUUAAUCGGAAUUACUGGGCGUAAAGCGAGCGUAGGUGGCUUGAUAAGUCAGAUGUGAAAUCCCCGGGCUUAACCUGGGAACUGCAUCUGAAACUGUUAGGCUAGAGUAGGUGAGAGGGAAGUAGAAUUUCAGGUGUAGCGGUGAAAUGCGUAGAGAUCUGAAGGAAUACCGAUGGCGAAGGCAGCUUCCUGGCAUCAUACUGACACUGAGGCUCGAAAGCGUGGGUAGCAAACAGGAUUAGAUACCCUGGUAGUCCACGCCGUAAACGAUGUCUACUAGUCGUUGGGUCCCUUGAGGACUUAGUGACGCAGCUAACGCAAUAAGUAGACCGCCUGGGGAGUACGGCCGCAAGGUUAAAACUCAAAUGAAUUGACGGGGGCCCGCACAAGCGGUGGAGCAUGUGGUUUAAUUCGAUGCAACGCGAAGAACCUUACCUGGUCUUGACAUACACAGAAUCUUGUAGAGAUACGAGAGUGCCUUCGGGAAUUGUGAUACAGGUGCUGCAUGGCUGUCGUCAGCUCGUGUCGUGAGAUGUUGGGUUAAGUCCCGCAACGAGCGCAACCCUUGUCCUUAGUUACCAGCACUUCGGGUGGGAACUCUAAGGAUACUGCCAGUGACAAACUGGAGGAAGGCGGGGACGACGUCAAGUCAUCAUGGCCCUUACGACCAGGGCUACACACGUGCUACAAUGGUAGGUACAGAGGGCAGCUACACAGCGAUGUGAUGCGAAUCUCAAAAAGCCUAUCGUAGUCCAGAUUGGAGUCUGCAACUCGACUCCAUGAAGUAGGAAUCGCUAGUAAUCGCGGAUCAGAAUGCCGCGGUGAAUACGUUCCCGGGCCUUGUACACACCGCCCGUCACACCAUGGGAGUUGAUUGCACCAGAAGUGGUUAGCCUAACUUAGUGAGGGCGAUCACCACGGUGUGGUCGAUGACUGGGGUGAAGUCGUAACAAGGUAACCGUAAAUCGAAUCCCGCGGGCCG